rnacentral:rRNA from 1 species
UACGAAGGGGGCUAGCGUUGCUCGGAAUCACUGGGCGUAAAGGGUGCGUGAGGCGGUACUUUAGUCAGGGGUGAAAUCCUGGAGCUCAACUCCAGAACUGCCCUUGAUACUGAGGAUCUUGAGUUCGGGAGAGGUGAGUGGAACUGCGAGUGUAGAGGUGAAAUUCGUAGAUAUUCGCAAGAACACCAGUGGCGAAGGCGGCUCACUGGCCCGUUACUGACGCUGAGGCACGAAAGCGUGGGGAGCAAACAGG